rnacentral:rRNA from 1 species
GUAUGAAGUUGGAAUCGCUAGUAAUCGCGGAUCAGCAUGCCGCGGUGAAUACGUUCCCGGGCCUUGUACACACCGCCCGUCACACCAUGAGAGUCGGGAACACCCGAAGUCCGUAGCCUAACCGCAAGGGGGGCGCGGCCGAAGGUGGGUUCGAUAAUUGGGGUGAAGUCGUAACAAGGUAGC